rnacentral:lncRNA from 1 species
UUUCCUCUCAUUUCACAAGUAACUCUGCCACUUCCAUCAAGAUUGACAAAGUCACCAAUUUUUGUGAUGGAAGCCCAUGUCUUCUUUUAUGAGGUGUGUGUUUUCCACAGAUCUUGGAAGCAAACCUUGGCCCAAUUGAUAAACUCCACUCUAUCAAACAUUGACCUGGAUCCUGAUACCCUGGAUCAAAGGUGACUUAGCCAGGAUCCUAGCUCUUACCCAUGGAUCUAACACUAUGGAGAGGGACUCAACAUUGCCUGUCAAGAGAAGCUGGGACUCGAUAGUGCCUGCUGAGAGAAGCUGGGACUUGACAGCACCCACCUCACGAGUCUGAGAAAUCAACGCCACAAAUCCAUGACUGGGUGAGUGAGCACAGGCAGAUUGAUCAGACCUGGGCUACAUGGCAGUGACAGCAGCAGUGUAGCGAGGGCGGCAUGCUUG